rnacentral:lncRNA from 1 species
UGAAGAAUUAGAUAGAGCAAUAGAAGAUAAAGUUGAUAUUAAAAUUGAGAUCUAUCUUCUAUAAAAUUUUAAUAUUUUUUCAAAAUUUUUAUAGUUAUCAUAUUUUUUUAGAGACUUGGUCCUAUUUAAACUAGAAAAAAGAUAUCAAUCCAAUUUAUUUAAUGGUAGACAUCCUUCUAGAAGAUAAAAAGAGAAACUCAAUCUGAAUUAUGCAAAAAUAGACUA